GCGAUCGAUAAAGUCGUUAACGUAAUAGCCGCCCAACGCCGCGGAGAUGGUUUCGUUGAUAUCAGACAGCGAAACACCGAGCGCCUGCGCUUUUUCUUGAUCGACAUCCAGCUUGAACUGUGGCGUGUCUUCCAGCCCGUUCGGGCGUACGCGCACUAAUAGGUCAGGAUGCUUCGCGACCAUACCCAGGAGUUGAUUACGCGCUUUUGUUAACGCAUCGUGACCGAGUCCUCCCUGAUCAAUCAGUUCAAAGUCGAAACCUGUCGCGGUACCUAACUCGACAAUUGCCGGCAUGUUGAAGGGGAACACCAACCCGUCGCGAAUCUGGCUAAAGGCGCGUGUCGCUCUGGCGAUAACGGCUUCGACGCUAUUUUCUUCACCGU
rnacentral:rRNA from 1 species